CUGGCUUCUGCGGCCCGUGUGGGAAAAACUGGAACGACAGAGAGAAGAUUAGUGUUGUCCCUGUGCAAGGGUGACACAAAUCUGUGACGCGCUCCAUAUUUUC
ensembl:snRNA U6 U6 spliceosomal RNA